UACGUAGGGUGCAGGCGUUAAUCGGAAUUACUGGGCGUAAAGCGUGCGCAGGCGGUCUGCUAAGAGAGGUGUGAAAUCCCCGGGCUUAACCUGGGAACUGCGCUUCUAACUGGCAGGCUAGAGUGUGGCAGAGGGGGGUGGAAUUCCACGUGUAGCAGUGAAAUGCGUAGAGAUGUGGAGGAACACCGAUGGCGAAGGCAGCCCCCUGGGCUAACACUGACGCUGAGGAGCGAAAGCCAGGGGAGCAAACGGG
rnacentral:rRNA from 1 species